CCUUCGAUAGCUCAGUUGGAAGAGCGUGGGACUGUAAUGGUUAAUGUACUAGUCAUCCCGAGGCCGCUGGUUCGAUCCCGGCUCGAAGGA